UCCCGGCUAGCUCAGUCGGUAGAGCGUCAGACUCUUAUGAUACAAGGGUUUUCGAGCAUGUUCUCGGAGUUCAUCUGAAUGUCGUGGGUUCGAGCCCCACGUUGGGAG